rnacentral:tRNA from 1 species
GGCACGUAGCGCAGCCUGGUAGCGCACCGUCAUGGGGUGUCGGGGGUCGGAGGUUCAAAUCCUCUCGUGCCGACCA